GCUUGUCUCAAAGAUUAAGCCAUGCAUGUCUAAGUAUAAACGACUUUAUACUGUGAAACUGCGAAUGGCUCAUUAUAUCAGUUAUAGUUUAUUUGAUGGUCCUUGCUACUUGGAUAACCGUAGUAAUUCUAGAGCUAAUACAUGCUGUUUUGCCUGACUCUGUGGUAAGGCUGUGCUUAUUAGUACCAGAACCAACCCAAGUUCUGCUUGGUUGCAUCCUGAUUCAUAAUAAACGAAUGGAUUGCAUGCUUUGGCUGGCAAUGUAGCAUCUAAGUUUCUGACCUAUCAGCUUCCGACGGUAAGGUAUUGGCUUACCGUGGCAAUGACGGGUAACGGAGAAUUAGGGUUUGAUUCCGGAGAGGGAGCCUGAGAAACGGCUACCACAUCUAAGGAAGGCAGCAGG
rnacentral:rRNA from 1 species